CAUCUGGUGGUGAAGAGGGAACACGCUCGGUCACAGCACAUGUCGAGGUGAUAGUCCUGGAUGAGAUGUCUAAGUCCGAGAGGUCGUAGGUUCAACCCCUACCCAGGCAA